CCUCCCACGCCCCCUCCCCUCGCCGCCACCCGCCCCUCCCCUCGCAGAUCCAGAUCGCCGUGCUCUGCUCCUCCCUCCUUCCCCUCUGGCAAGAUCCCACAUCCAUCGAUCCAUCCAUCAACCGGAACCCCUCUCCCGAUGCCAGAUCCAAUCCUCCUCCCUCCCUCCUCGCCCCGGCUCCUUGCUCCCCUCCCCUUCCAUAUCACCGUACCACCUCCCUCCUUGCCCUAUCUCGCUGCUCCCCUCCCCUUCCAGAUCGCCGCCGCCACCUCCCUCCUCCUCCCUCGCCCUGGCUCCCUGCUCCGCCUCCCUCUUCCCCUCCUCCUCAUCGUGCUGCUGCGUUCUAGAGUGUUUGCUUACAGGGCCGGGAGCGACACCAACGACACGGACGGGGACGAGGAUGAUGACCCCGUGAUGGAGGUCGACGGCACCGAGGACGAGGAGGUCGAUGAGGUCGUCCAGGCUAAGGCCGCCGCCAAGGCGCUCGGGACCAAGAGCAGCUUGGGCUCGGGCACCGUCGGUGAUGUUUUCGACGGGCUCGUGGAGCUCAACAUGGACGCCUAUGACGACGAGGAGGAUGGGCUCGAGCUUUUCAGCACCAGGCUGGGGGACUUGUACUACGAAAGCAAUGAAGAGGACCCCUAUAUCAUCAAGAACGAUGAUGAAGAUGAUGGCGAGGACGACGAUGAGGAGAUUAAGGACAUGACUAUCAAAUCUACUGAUAUAGUGAUUGUUUGCGCUCAUAACAAGGAUGAAUUCAAUUCUCUCCAGGUUAGCAUAGUGGAAGAAUUGGAGGAUGGGGAUCCUAAUAUGUUUGUGCGCCAUGAGGUCCCUCUCUCAGAUUUUCUGCUCUGCACGGCUUGGAUGGAUUUUAACCGUCAGGAUUUGGGGCCUUCUUCAAGAAGGACAAGACCAGGGCCUCCAAUGGAUCAGUCAGUGCUCCACUGCUCCUCUUCUUCCUAACCAUUUCCGGGGGUUUGUGCAGGCCAUCACCAUGGUAAGCCGAGGUGCUGUGGGUGUCAAGGAAGACGAUGGUUCGGUUGAGACAGUGAAGAGAGGAUAGCGUGCAGAGAGGGAGGACGUCGGUUCCAGGUGCUUAGAUUACCUGAGGGUCCAUGACAUCUCGCUGAACCACUACUGGAUGUGGUGUCGACGAAGCACUACACCUAGCUUGCUCGUCGGCGCGCACAUGUGUGCUUUGAUGCGCGACGCUUCAUCGAGCUGACCGGACCGCGACAAUCGCCGGAGCCGGAGCUGGAGGAGGCGAUGAGAUGCUGCUGCUGCGACUGCGUCCUCGGAGGCAGCAGUUGCCCCUCGCCGACCUCACCAACCUCCGGCGUUCGCCAUGAGCUCCGCGCAGGACCCCUUCUAAAUCUUCCAGGAGGAGAUCCAGGGCUUGGUAAUCCCCCCAUCGCCGUCCGCCCUCCCUCCCUCCCUUGUGCCCCUUUCUCUUCCUCUAGUUGCGAAUUUUGGUAUGUUGCCGCUGUUUAUUUGGCUGCGUCGUGGCGUACUGUCAGCUGAAAACUGCUUCUUUAUUUUCUACUCCAGUAUUGUAUGGAGUAGUAUAUAAGGAUGUCUUACUGUAGUAUGGCAAAGGCAGUGACCAGCUUGGUAGUUAGUACUAGAUGAGAAAAUUCAUGAUGCUGGCCGGGAGCAAAAAAUUUAUAGGCUUAGUUGCUGUAUUGGUUCUGUAAUUGUAUGGGGAUAUAUGCAUAGAUAUGUAACGUGUGGGUUCCAAGCAUGCUUCCGAGAUUUUUUUAGUUUUGCUGGCUCUUGCAACACUUGGAUUAUUUAUUAAUAUAACCCAACAGCGAUGCUUCCAUUUUAACACAUGUACUAGUGUGCUAAAACUAGUACUGUACCUGCUUCUUCUUAGCCUGAGUAGUACAUCAGGCUUGUAUUAACUUGUAGCCUAGUCACUACAGUCAUCUUGUGCUUUUAUCUUCUCUGUGAUGUCAUUUGCCUUUGAGCCUACUUAUUGAAGACUUAUGCUCAUAUAUCUUUUUAGUCCCUCUAUUUCCAUAAAUGUGACACUGUUUUGUUUCUAAAUACUUGACACAUACAAGUUUGAGGGCAUUGUCCUAAACCCUUGCUAUGAUUGAUCCAUCUCCUCUACUUUGUUACUUGUGCUUAAUUGAGAUGUUACUCAAGGGUAGUGUUUGGGACAACAUAUAUAAAUGAUAUGGUCGUUUACUUUAAUAUGUGUGUUGACUCGAAACUGUCAAAAUAUCUAGAAAUAGAGCGAACUCACUUCACAGAUUCUUUCAAUCUUCAAUGGUUAUGGUUUUUGCAUUACGGAUUCUUAAUCUCCUCUGAUUCUAGAUUCUUCCAAGUGCUAGCUAGCUCCAAAAGCAAAUUGUCUUCAUUUGGAAGAUGCAACAUUCUAUCAGAAUCCAUUCUCCUGCUCUUUUUCUUGUACCGUAUGUCAUCCAUUAUUCAACCCCGUUGGUAAGUUCUUGUAGUGUGUCUCUCUAUUCAGAAUUGCAUUUUAGUUUAGGAUUUGCUUCCUGUGUGGUACUGGAUGGCUGAGUAUUAAAACAAUUUGGUUACUAUCGGAAGCACUUUAAUUCUCUGGAAUUAAACUUUGACAAGCAUGCAUAUAUGUGUUCAAUUUUUCUGGAUUACGUGAUGGCAUUCUACGAUUCUGUUUAACAACUUAAGUAUAUGUAUGAAUGUGCUCGAGUCCAUGAUUUAUUGUUCUGUUUAACAACUUAAGUAUAUGUAUGAAUGUGCUACAUUUAGAUCGACCUAUCAUAGAAAUCUGCUUAAUUUGAACUGGAAGUAGAUAGUACUAACAGUCAGAUUGUCCUCCAGUCCAUGUCUUUGAUGUACACCUGCUCUGCUGUUGUUAUUUGUUAAUAUACAGAUACAACCGUAUGUAUAGUCACUAACACUUGGACUUGCCAAAACAUUCAUGUAGGCUGUUGGUGGACGUGGUGGUGAUCCUCCUGUUAGGAGGUAGAGGAUGUGAGCUGAGCUGCUGUCUGGUCGAGGAAGAAAGUUGCUGUCUUUACUGGUGAAACAAAUUGCUGCCGCAACCAUGCUUGUGAGCUUAUGAUGUGCCUCUAGUUUAGUUUGUCGGUUUCUGUGAAUCAUUCUCUGUGAUGUAAGAUGUAUUGCUGCUGUUAGCUGUAAAUGUGAUGUAUGAUGAGUUGACUUGAUGGUUCGUUUGAGGUUGUCAUUGGAAUGGAUUAUCUCCUGUGAAGUUUACUGCUAGUUAACAUGAGUUAAACUAAUACAUACACUUGCUGCUGUU